rnacentral:lncRNA from 1 species
AAAACGUUUGGUUGACAAUUCUUGAUGUACAGUAUGUUUUAAUGACUAUAGCUGAUUUUAUUCCUUCAAAUGAUUCUUCUAGUUUUCUUUAUAUAUAUGUUUGUUUUUAAUCUUUGGGGCAAAUGAAAAACUUGGCACAUUUCAUUUGAAAAUAUUUACCAACUGGCAGACUUUUCACCCAACAAUUCAAUGUCAUCCAAGUCACUGUUUAAGUUACCAUAAAGACAGGAU